rnacentral:rRNA from 1 species
AGAGUGAACGCUGGCGGCAGGCCUAACACAUGCAAGUCGAACGGCAGCACGGCAGUAGCAAUACUGUGGGUGGCGAGUGGCGGACGGGUGAGGAAUACAUCGGAAUCUACCUUGUCGUGGGGGAUAACCUCGGGAAACCGGGACUAAUACCGCAUACGAACUAUGGUUGAAAGCGGCGGACCGCAAGGCGUCGCGCGAUUGGAUGAGCCGAUGUCCGAUUAGCUAGUUGGCGGGGUAAAGGCCCACCGAGGCGACGAUCGGUAGCUGGUCUGAGAGGAUGAUCAGCCACACUGGAACUGAGACACGGUCCAGACUCCGUACGGGAGGCAGCAGGUGGGAAUAUUGGACAAUGGGGGCAACCCGUGACUCCAGCCAUGCCGCGUGUGUGAAGACGGCCUUCGGUGUAAGCUAC